GACGAACGCUGGCGGCGUGCCUAAUACAUGCAAGUUGAGCGCUGAAGGUUGGUACUUGUACCGACUGGAUGAGCAGCGAACGGGUGAGUAACGCGUGGGGAAUCUGCCUUUGAGCGGGGGACAACAUUUGGAAACGAAUGCUAAUACCGCAUAAAAACUUUAAACACAAGUUUUAAGUUUGAAAGAUGCAAUUGCAUCACUCAAAGAUGAUCCCGCGUUGUAUUAGCUAGUUGGUGAGGUAAAGGCUCACCAAGGCGAUGAUACAUAGCCGACCUGAGAGGGUGAUCGGCCACAUUGGGACGGAGACACGGCCCAAACUCCUACGGGAGGCAGCAGUAGGGAAUCUUCGGCAAUGGACGAAAGUCUGACCGAGCAACGCCGCGAGAGUGAAGAAGGUUGUCGGAUCGUAAAACUCUGUUGGUAGAGAAGAACGUUGGUGAGAGUGGAAAGCCCAUCAAGUGACGGUAACUACCCAGAAAGGGACGGCUAACUACGUG
rnacentral:rRNA from 1 species